rnacentral:rRNA from 1 species
AGUGAACGCUGGCGGUAGGCCUAACACAUGCAAGUCGAACGGCAGCACAGUAAGAGCUUGCUCUUACGGGUGGCGAGUGGCGGACGGGUGAGGAAUACAUCGGAAUCUACUUUUUCGUGGGGGAUAACGUAGGGAAACUUACGCUAAUACCGCAUACGACCUACGGGUGAAAGCAGGGGAUCUUCGGACCUUGCGCGAUUGAAUGAGCCGAUGUCGGAUUAGCUAGUUGGCGGGGUAAAGGCCCACCAAGGCGACGAUCCGUAGCUGGUCUGAGAGGAUGAUCAGCCACACUGGAACUGAGACACGGUCCAGGCUCCUACGGGAGGCAGCAGUGGGGAAUAUUGGGCAAUGGGCGCAAGCCUGAUCCAGCCAUACCGCGUGGGUGAAGAAGGCCUUCGGGUUGUAAAGCCCUUUUGUUGGGAAAGAAAAGCAGCAGGUGAAUACCCCGCUGUUCUGACGGUACCCAAAGAAUAAGCACCGGCUAACUUCGUG